rnacentral:rRNA from 1 species
UGCAGUCGACGAGACCUUCGGGUCUAGUGGCGCACGGGUGAGUAACGCGUGGAAACCUACCAUUCUGUACGGAAUAACGAUUGGAAACGAUCGCUAAUACCGUAUACGCCCUGUGGGGGAAAGGUCCGCCGCAGAAUGAGGGGUCCGCGUCCGAUUAGCUUGUUGGUGGGGUAAAAGCCUACCAAGGCGAUGAUCGGUAGCUGGUCUGAGAGGAUGAUCAGCCACACUGGGACUGAGACACGGCCCAGACUCCUACGGGAGGCAGCAGUGGGGAAUAUUGGACAAUGGGGGCAACCCUGAUCCAGCAAUGCCGCGUGUGUGAAGAAGGCCUUAGGGUUGUAAAGCACUUUCAAUGGUGAAGAUGAUGACGGUAGCCGUAGAAGAAGCCCCGGCUAACUUCGUGCCAGCAGCCGCGGUAAUACGAAGGGGGCGAGCGUUGUUCGGAAUUACUGGGCGUAAAGGGC